rnacentral:rRNA from 1 species
AUGUUUGAGCAAUUUGGCAGUGCUCUUUACAAGGCAGGGGCUUAUGAACUAGAUGUUGCUGUACCAAAAAAGGUAUACAUUCUUACUCAUGUGGAUGCUCUCUCUCGUGAGAAAUGGAGCAAGGUCCAAUUCAAGGUUGAUGUUGAUGAUGAUAAGACCUUUUUCAACUGCGAGUGUGGUAUUUUCGAGCAUUCUGGAAUGGUCUGCUGCCAUGCACUGAAGGUAAAUGUAAUAUCUUGCCAUGUAAACUGUGCAAUUGUUGUUCCGAUGUCUAAAAUCGUGUUUGUGUCAGCAGGUUAUGAUCAAGCUCAAGUUGAGCAAGAUACCAGAAAAGCACAUAUUGAAGCGAUGGACAAGGGAUGCCCGUGA